CCUACGGGGGGCUGCAGUGGGGAAUAUUGGACAAUGGGGGGAACCCUGAUCCAGCCAUGCCGCGUGUGUGAAGAAGGCCCUCGGGUUGUAAAGCACUUUCAGUGAGGAAGAACGCCUGGUGGUUAAUACCCAUCAGGAAAGACAUCACUCACAGAAGAAGCACCGGCUAACUCCGUGCCAGCAGCCGCGGUAAUACGGAGGGUGCGAGCGUUAAUCGGAAUUACUGGGCGUAAAGCGCGCGUAGGUGGCUUGAUAAGCCGGUUGUGAAAGCCCCGGGCUCAACCUGGGAACGGCAUCCGGAACUGUCAAGCUAGAGUGCAGGAGAGGAAGGUAGAAUUCCCGGUGUAGCGGUGAAAUGCGUAGAGAUCGGGAGGAAUACCAGUGGCGAAGGCGGCCUUCUGGACUGACACUGACACUGAGGUGCGAAAGCGUGGGUAGCAAACAGGAUUAUAUACCCCUGUAGUC
rnacentral:rRNA from 1 species